rnacentral:sRNA from 1 species
AGGAGAAAUGUAAUGAACAUGAAGGUCAAUACCUCCUGCUGUCAUGAUCAAACCUUCCCCAGAAAUAGCUUCUGUACUAGCACCAACGAUGAAAUCGAUAUUAUCCAUAAUAUCAGGAUUACCACCCUUACCGAUAGAAACUAUUUUCCCAUCUCGAAUACCCACAUCAGCUUUAACAAUGCCAGUAUAAUCAAUGAUAGUGAUUCCUGAAAUAAUAGUAUCCACAACAAGUGGGUUUGUUUCUCGUGUUUCGUUUGGGUUUACUCCCAUACCAUCACG